rnacentral:rRNA from 1 species
CCUACGGGGGCAGCAGUGGGGAAUAUUGCACAAUGGGCGCAAGCCUGAUGCAGCCAUGCCGCGUGUGUGAAGGAGGCCUUCGGGUUGUAAAGCACUUUCAGCGGGGAGGAAGGCGGUGAGGUUAAUAACCUCAUCGAUUGACGUUACCCGCAAAAGAAGCACCGGCUAACUCCGUGCCAGCAGCCGCGGUAAUACGGAGGGUGCAAGCGUUAAUCGGAAUUACUGGGCGUAAAGCGCACGCAGGCGGUCUGUCAAGUCGGAUGUGAAAUCCCCGGGCUCAACCUGGGAACUGCAUUCGAAACUGGCAGGCUAGAGUCUUGUAGAGGGGGGUAGAAUUCCAGGUGUAGCGGUGAAAUGCGUAGAGAUCUGGAGGAAUACCGGUGGCGAAGGCGGCCCCCUGGACAAAGACUGACGCUCAGGUGCGAAAGCGUGGGGAGCAAACAGGAUUAGAUACCUUGUAGUC